rnacentral:rRNA from 1 species
GAUGAACGCCGGCGGCGUGCCUAAUACAUGCAAGUCGAGCGAACGGACGAGAAGCUUGCUUCUCUGAUGUUAGCGGCGGACGGGUGAGUAACACGUGGAUAACCUACCUAUAAGACUGGGAUAACUUCGGGAAACCGGAGCUAAUACCGGAUAAUAUUUUGAACCGCAUGGUUCAAAAGUGAAAGACGGUCUUGCUGUCACUUAUAGAUGGAUCCGCGCUGCAUUAGCUAGUUGGUAAGGUAACGGCUUACCAAGGCAACGAUGCAUAGCCGACCUGAGAGGGUGAUCGGCCACACUGGAACUGAGGCACGGUCCAGACUCCUACGGGAGGCAGCAGUAGGGAAUCUUCCGCAAUGGGCGAAAGCCUGACGGAGCAACGCCGCGUGAGUGAUGAAGGUCUUCGGAUCGGAAAACUCUGUUAUUAGGGAAGAACAUAUGUGUAAGUAACUGUGCACAUCUUGACGGUACCUAAUCAGAAAGCCACGGCUAACUACGUG